rnacentral:tRNA from 2 species
GGGUGAUUAGCUCAGCUGGGAGCGCACCUCCCUUACAAGGAGGGGGUCGGCGGUUCGAUCCCGUCAUCACCCACCA